rnacentral:rRNA from 1 species
UAGUCCAUGCCGUCAACUAUGAGAGCUCAUCUUAGAAAAACUGAGAUUUAGUUAACACGUUAAGCUCUUCGCCAGGGAAGUACGAUUGCAAGGUUAAAACUCAAAGGAAUUGACGGGAAUCCAUACAAACGGUGGAGCAUGUGGUUUAAUUCGAUACAACGCGUAAAAUCUUACCAGACUUUGUAUAAAUUUACUAUGAAUUUACAAGAUUGCAUGGCUGUCGUCAGUCCGUGUUGUGAAACGUUUGGUUAAGUCCCGCAACGAGCGCAACCCUUGUCUUUAGUUGCCAUCAUUAAGUUGGGCACUUUAAAGAGACUGCCGGUGACAAACCGGAGGAAGGUAAGGAUGACGUCAAGUCAGCAUGCCCCUUAUGCUCUGGGCUACACACGUGCUACAAUGGCCGUGACAAAGAGUUGCUACUUUGUGAAAACAAGCUAAAUCUCAUAAACGCGGCCUCAGUUCGGAUUGCAGGCUGAAACUCGCCUGCAUGAAGUGGAAUCGCUAGUAAUCGCC